GACAGAGGUGCCAAGCGUUAGGCGGAAUCACUGGGCUUAAAGCGUGUGUAGGCGGAAUGGUAAGUACCUUGUGAAAUCCCACGGCUCAACCGUGGAACUGCUUGGUAUACUGCUUUUCUUGAGCCACUUAGGGGCAACCGGAACAAACGGUGGAGCGGUGAAAAUGCGUAGAUAUCGUUUGGAACGCCAAUGGUGAAAAACAGGUCGCUGGGGGAUGAGCUGACGCUGAGACACGAAAGCCAGGGGGAGCAAACGGG
rnacentral:rRNA from 1 species